AUUGAACGCUGGCGGAAUGCUUUACACAUGCAAGUCGAACGGCAGCACGGACCUCGGUCUGGUGGCGAGUGGCGAACGGGUGAGUAAUGUAUCGGAACGUGCCCAGUCGUGGGGGAUAACGUAGUGAAAAUUACGCUAAUACCGCAUACGAUCUAUGGAUGAAAGCGGGGUAUCGCAAGACCUCGCGCGAUUGGAGCGGCCGAUAUCAGAUUAGGUAGUUGGUGGGGUAAAGGCCCACCAAGCCAACGAUCUGUAGCUGGUCUGAGAGGACGACCAGCCACACUGGAACUGAGACACGGUCCAGACUCCUACGGGAGGCAGCAGUGGGGAAUUUUGGACAAUGGGCGAAAGCCUGAUCCAGCCAUUCCGCGUGCAGGAUGAAGGCCCUCGGGUUGUAAACUGCUUUUGUACAGAACGAAAAGGUUUCUACUAAUACUAGGAGCUCAUGACGGUACUGUAAGAAUAAGCACCGGCUACCUACGUGCCAGCCGCCGCAGUAA
rnacentral:rRNA from 1 species